rnacentral:rRNA from 1 species
UUAAGUGACUAAGCGUACACGGUGGAUGCCUAGGCAGUUGGAGGCGAUGAAGGACGUACUAACUUGCGAUAAGCCAUGACGAGACAGUAAGAGUCGUUAUCAGUCAUGGAUUUCCGAAUGGGGCAACCCACUCUGUUUACAGAGUAUCCGGCACUGAAUAUAUAGGUGCUUGGAGGCAAACCCGGAGAACUGAAACAUCUAAGUACCCGGAGGAAAAGAAAUCAACCGAGAUUUCCCUAGUAGCGGCGAGCGAACGGGAAGCAGCCCUUAAGCUGACAAUGCGUUAACAGAAUCUGUUGGGAAGCAGAGCCAUAGACGGUGAUAGCCCGGUAUGUGACGGCGCAUAGUGAGUGAAAACGAGUAGGUCGGGACACGUGUUAUCUUGACUGAAUAUGGGGGGACCAUCCUCCAAGGCUAAAUACUCCCAACUGACCGAUAGUGAACCAGUACCGUGAGGGAAAGGCGAAAAGAACCCCGGCGAGGGGAGUGAAAUAGAACCUGAAACCGUGUACGUACAAGCAGUAGGAGCCUCCUUGUGGGGUGACUGCGUACCUUUUGUAUAAUGGGUCAGCGACUUAUAUUUUGUAGCAAGGUUAACCGAAUAGGGGAGCCGUAGGGAAACCGAGUCUUAACUGGGCGUCGAGUUGCAAGGUAUAGACCCGAAACCGGGCGAUCUAGCCAUGAGCAGGUUGAAGAUUGAGUAACAUCAAUUGGAGGACCGAACCCACUAAUGUUGAAAAAUUAGGGGAUGACUUGUGGUUAGGAGUGAAAGGCUAAUCAAGCCCGGAGAUAGCUGGUUCUCCCCGAAAUCUAUUUAGGUAGAGCCUCGGAUGAAUACCUACGGGGGUAGAGCACUGUUUGGGCUAGGGGGUCAUCCCGACUUACCAACCCCAUGCAAACUCCGAAUACCGUAGAGUACUAUCCGGGAGACACACGGCGGGUGCUAACGUCCGUCGUGGAGAGGGAAACAACCCAGACCGCCAGCUAAGGUCCCAAAGUUAUGGCUCAGUGGGAAACGAUGUGGGAAGGCAUAGACAGCUAGGAGGUUGGCUUAGAAGCAGCCACCCUUUAAAGAAAGCGUAAUAGCUCACUAGUCGAGUCGGCCUGCGCGGAAGAUGUAACGGGGCUAAGCCAUACACCGAAGCUGCGGCAGUGUAUGUAUCACCACAGGCUAUUCCGCUUACGCACAGCAUGUGCGAAAGCGUCCCAACACUAGUUGCGGAUAACGGAGUAGUUUGCGGGAUACAUACACUGGGUAGGGGAGCGUUCUGUAAGCGGAUGAAGGUGUGUUGAGAAGCAUGCUGGACGUAUCAGAAGUGCGAAUGCUGACAUGAGUAACGAUAAUGCGGGUGAAAAACCCGCACGCCGGAAGACCAAGGUUUCCUAUCCCAUGCUAAUCAGGGUAGGGUAAGUCGGCCCCUAAGGCGAGGCGGAAACGCGUAGUCGAUGGGAAACAGGUUAAUAUUCCUGUACCGACAUGUACUGCGAUGGGGGGACGGAGAAGGCUAGGUGGGCCAGGCGUUGGUAGUCCUGGUGAAAGUUAGUAGGCUGAGGGUUUAGGCAAAUCCGGACCCUUAAGGCCGAGAAACGAGACGAGUACCUACGGGUACGAAGCCAUUGAUGCCCUGCUUCCGGGAAAAGCCUCUAAGCUUCAGGUACAUGUUGACCGUACCCGAAACCGACACAGGUGGUCAGGUAGAGAAUACUAAGGCGCUUGAGAGAACUCGGGUGAAGGAACUAGGCAAAAUAGUACCGUAACUUCGGGAGAAGGUACGCCACCUUUGGUGAAGACUUCGCGUCGUAAGCUGAAGGUGGUCGCAGUGACCAGGUGGCUGGGACUGUUUAUUAAAAACACAGCACUCUGCUAACUCGAAAGAGGACGUAUAGGGUGUGACACCUGCCCGGUGCCGGAAGGUUAAUUGAUGGGGUUAGCGUAAGCGAAGCUCUUGAUCGAAGCCCCGGUAAACGGCGGCCGUAACUAUAACGGUCCUAAGGUAGCGAAAUUCCUUGUCGGGUAAGUUCCGACCUGCACGAAUG